rnacentral:lncRNA from 1 species
AAAAUCUCGCUCGAGAGCUCUCUAAGAAGAGACAGUCACCUGGGUGGGCUGUAACGCACCUACAAAUGCCGACAGUGCAGCAGCUUUAAUCUGUCGUAGCGCUCCUAGUCGAGUGGAGAGCCGUGUCGCUAAUGACGAUGUAGUGAGGGCAUGUGGUGAGGGCCGACGACAAAUAACGGCAUUCCAAGGCUCGCGGCCACGGCAAAAACAUUAAACCACUCACAGUGUGAGGGCGCUGCUCCAGCUUACUUGCUCUGAGUGAUAUUCACCACCCCCAUGCAUGUAGGCACGUACCCAAGCCCCCACGUCCCGUGGAAGCUGAGUGUGCGUUGUCCGGCUGUCCGACCCCAUUACGGGCACGGUCAUUUCUUGGGCAGGUCCUCGGUGCAAUGCCGACUGCGUACGCUGUGAGCGUGUCGCUGCGUUGUGUGCUGGUUCGUGGCAGACUGGCAGUGCCAUGGGUCGUACCUCCAAGUGGGGUGUCGGCCAGCGCAGUCUUAUAUCCGCGAACAACGCCUGGCGCGUCGGUUCGCGGAUCGUUUCUGUAAUGCAUGUACAACGAG